GGGGACAGGGGGACCACAAACGCAAAAAAAAUACAGCACAUUUUCAGACAACCCAAACCCAACAUUAAAAAAGCCAUCCCCAGAUAACGGCGUAAACAAUCACAAUACAAUAUAAAAAGCUUCAUCAGAUUCAAGACAAACCUUCCAGCAAAUUCGAGAAAAACCACUUCACGGACACCUACAAUCGAGUCGCGAUUGAAGUCCAAAUAGGGAAUGGCCAAGCUCCAAACCGCGAUUGAAGUCCAACUCUGGAUCGUCUCCACUUACGAUUGCCCAUGAACUUUCAGAUGGUACUCUCAGAUCCCUUUUUGAUUUACCAGAUCCCAAAUUCCCCUUUUUUAAUUCACUCAACCCUAAUUCCCUUUCCCUUUUUUAAUUAACUAACCCUAAUCCCCUUUUUUAAUUUACUAACCCUAAUCCCCUUUUUAAUUUCAUUUUAUCAGUUAACUAUGCCANGUGCCACUCAGUUAUCCGNCACGUUUNNNAAUGUUGCCACGUCCUNCAUCCAACUNUGCCU
rnacentral:lncRNA from 1 species